rnacentral:rRNA from 1 species
CAAUAGCGUAUAUUAAAGUUGUUGCGGUAAAAAAGCUCGUAGUUGGAUUUCUACCGAAGAUAGCCGGUCGGGUCUUCGACCUUGUAUCUGGUUUUGUCUUUGGUAUCCUCAUAGGGAACGUUUCUGCGCUUUAUUGCGUGGUGCGGUAUCUAUGACUUUUACUUUGAGGAAAUUAGAGUGUUCACGGCAGGCAAACGCCUUGAAUAUAUUAGCAUGGAAUAAUAACAUAGGAUCUUCGUCCUAUUUUGUUGGUUUCUAGGGCUAAGAUAAUGAUUAAUAGGGAUAAUUGUGGGCAUCUGUAUCAACGCGUCAGAGGUGGAAUUCUUGGAUUGCGUUGCGACAAACUACUGCGAAAGCAUUUGCCAAGGAUGUUUUCAUUGA